CGAAUGUUGCAGUUGUUGGGAUAUCCAACUGGGCACUUGAUGCAGCAAAGAUGAAUAGAGCUAUCCAUCUAUCUAGGCCGGAUAUGGAUGCAGAUGAACUCGUUCAGACGGGAUUGUCUAUUAGUGAAGCAACUCUUGAAGAUGGUGACGAAGAAGGGAGUCUAUUACAUCUGAAUGAUAACAACAGCAGCAAUCAAAUAGAUGAAGCACUGAUAAGAGCAAUAGCUGAGGCCUAUUCCAAAUAUGUCAAUGACCAGCGUUUCAAAAACUUUCAUGGUCUUCGAGACUUCUACUCUCUUGUGAAGUAUGUGUCUCGAAAAUUCAAGUCAAUGACAGUAGAACACUUUGAAGAUGACCAACGUAAAGUUGAUCUGGUUGUGAGAGGCUUACUCCGCAACUUUGGAGGUCUUUCAUCGGAAGUUAAUUCUGUUAUAUCUGUGUUCAAAGAGCAUCUAGGUGUGAUACUAACUGAUGGCACUGUUUCUGAUGAACUUGUGUUACCCUCCACCCUUGAGCUGGUACAGGAAAACAUUGAAGACAGAUCAGCACGUCACUUACUUCUGGUGACAAGAGGGGAGUCAGCUCUGAGCAUUGUUGAAGAUUUACUCAGGCAAAAUGAACGUCAGACUGUCACAAUUUUAGGAAGCCAUUUUGAUGAAGAUCUCAAUGAUGACUACAGCUAUCGCAUUCUUAGCAAAAUAAUACUUUGCAUGGAACAGGGAGUUGUUUUGAUAUUGAAAGACCUUGAUAGCAUUUAUGGGAGCUUGUAUGACAUGUUGAACCAAAACUACUCAAAAGUUGGCAUAAAGAAAACAUGCAGAGUAGCGCAUGGAGCCUAUAGUAACCCAGUGUGUCAUGUUCAUGAUGAUUUCCGGUGCAUUGUUUUGGUUGAGGAAAACAAACUUGACUUGUCAGAUCCACCAUUUCUGAACAGAUUUGAAAAACAGUGUAUCCGACUUUCAGAUAUGUUGACAGCUAGUGAGAAAAAAAUUGCUGAAGAAUUGGAGGCAUGGAUGAUUAGUGUCUCAAAGAUUCCAGGGCAUAAAUUCAGAAGAAAUGAUAUGAUACCUUUUGAUAACCCUGACUUGAUUGCAUCUUUGGUCCAUUAUUAUUUUUCUCAUUGCAAUACAAACAUUGAACAUGAAAGCUUAGUUGAGAAUUGUAAGAUGUUUCUGAUAAAAACAUGCACACCAGAGGGGAUAGUUCGCCUUCAACUAAGUGAAAGGCAUAGUGAAGAACCCUUAGAAGUAAAGAAAUGGCAGAACUAUUACUACAAGUUGCCUAUACAUGGGGGACUUCAGAAAUUUGUUGACUAUGCUCUUACUGAUUCUGAAACAACCAUACAGAAGGGCAAGGAAAUGAUUUUCAGUCACACCAAUAUUCAUACCAAUAUUCAGUCAUGUCUGGAUGUGUCUUCUGAAGAGUGCCAAGUUGAGAAAUUGAGCUCAUUCAAGUCUGAGAAACAGUUGUCAUCCAGGCUUCAUGCAUUUUGGUGUCUCCCUGGAAAGAAAUUUCUUAUUAUUCAAUGCUUAACAAGCUAUGAUCAAGACAACAUUCUUUUGAUGAAAUCACUAAUUGAGAAAGAACAGGGUGAAUACAAAUCUGAGAAUGAACCAGGUCAAGAGAAAUAUGUGUUUAUUAUCCUUCAUAUGGACAGAAAUGAUUCUGAUGAAUCAUUUAAUCUUUUGAAUUACCUAAGUGGAUGGAAUUUGACAGUUGUUGAUACUCUUGAGCCCAAGAAAAUUUCCUUGACUGACUUUCUAGUUAAACAAAAACUGGAAAUUGUCCAUGAACUGAAGCAAAUGGUACCAUUAGCUCACUAUCUCUUUUGGUCAUUCACCUUGAUAAAAUACCACAGCUAUGCCAGGAGUUUGACAAGUCUUAAAAGCCUGGUUGAAAACAUUUCUACCAAUUCACAUCUCAUGGCAUUCAUAGAGGGAGAAGUGUUUUCUAUUCUUGAAACACAAUUGAACAAGUCUGAAUUAAAGAACUGGCAGAUCAAUGUGGCAUGUGAUCAGUUGAAACUUUACACCUGUCUUACAUUACAUGUAGCACUUGAGAAUGACAUGAUGGAAUGUAUGAAAUAUCCUCUGGCUGCAAUGGUCUAUAAACUUGAGGCAGCAAAUACUUGGGAUUGUGUUGUUGGACAAGUGGAGUUUCAACAAAAGACUGAAUGCUGGAGGCAGCUUGCUAAAACUUCAUCAGUUUUAGACAUUAGUGAUGUGCCUCACCCACAAGGACCAGAGUCUUACCCAAUUAUGGAUCCAGCUUUGUUUCUUUUGUGUCCUUUUAGCAAAAUGUUCAUUGAAAGAAUUGAAAGCCUAAGAGGAUUGUGCACAGAAACUAUUGCAAUGGAAUACCCAGGCAUGGAAAUCGAUGAGAUUGAAGAAAAUCUCACAAAUGAAUUCAGUAGCAGACUUCAAGACCAAGUUUAUGACAUGGCAAGUGAAUUGUUUGAAUAUUCAUAUGGAGAACAACAUUUCAGUGAUUAUCUCCAUGACUUUGUAAGCAUAAUGUAUUCAAAUGUCAACAUUGGUAUGGAGGAAAGUCUAAAAGUCAAGGUUGUAGAAUGGUCAUUUUUAAUGAGAUUUCAAAUAGAAGGAUUACCAUUUGAAGCUGCAGUGACAAGACUGCAUGUUACAAAUUGGCUUCAUUUUGACAAAAUAGAAGCAGAAUUGAGACUUGUAGAUGCUUGUUUAAGUAUUAGUAAAGUGAGUUUGGAUGACAUCCUUGGAAGUUCAAAGCCAGUGCACAUGUUGUGCUUUAGUUCAACUGCAGAUGAACAUUCAUCACCAGAAACCCAAGUUCACAUGACUGACACAAAAGGGAAAUCAAUUGGUGACUUGAAAGUCAUAGAAGCCAUAGACAUGGAUAUGAAAGGUCAAGUUGGUACAUAUCAAGACAUUAAAGAAGAUCAGGAUGUUGAAGACAUUGGAAACGUAAUGAUCACUGAAAGUUGCUCUACAAAUGUCAAACCACAGUUUGAUGCUGUCAGUACUGAACAGCAUCAUACUGUUUCACAUGAAACACAGGAAUUUGAACUGGACGCCAGUACCAAUUUGGUUACAUUUGCUUGUCAGAAACUAAUUCCUACAGAAAAUCUGCUUGAGAACUCUACUUUUCAGUCAUGGGUAAACGGAGUCAGCCUUGUUUUGUCUUUGGCAAGUGAAGUGUCAUUAGAAUCCAAAGUAUUUCAGUCAUUACGGUUGUGUAAUGAAUUUGCAUUGCUUGUGUCAGUUCCACACAACACGGACAGAAGAUAUCUCUCUGAGAUAGGGCAUGCACUUGAAUCAAACCAGGUUGAAAGUGAUGUCAUAUUCAAAAAAAUUCUUCAGAUCAUAAACAAAGUGAAUGAAGAGAAGUUAGUUCCUGAAGAAGCACUACAACAUUUCUUUGCUUGUUACAUAAGCAUAUGUCUUGCUGCUGAUCCGGAAACAUCAGUAGUAGCUUUGGGACUUGAGGUACUUAAAGAUUUGACAAUUUUUCAAAGCAGCUUAAACUAUUUUGGUCCAACACUUUGUCAGAUUUUGAUGAUAGAAAUGGAAGAAUGUGAUUUGAUAAAUGAUGACCUUCUUGAAUACCCUGUUCUAAGAAAUCUAGACAAUUGCAUUCUAGCAUUCCAAGAGAAAGGUGAACCAGACUCACAGUUAGCAUGUCUUUGCAUAGAUGUCAUUGAGACACAUUUUACGCAAGAGAUAUUGGACUUUGAUGAUGAAAACCUAGAUACCAUGUUAAUGUGUGAUGAAAUUUACAGAUCUGAGGGGUUUUCACUGAAACACCUUAUAUCUUUGGCAUAUUUGAAAACCUGUCUAUCAAUUUUAGCAUCUGAUAUGAGACAGAAAGACACUGUUGAAAUACAUAUAUUACAAAAGGUGAAUGGCAUCCUACAGUUGGAUUCAGAUACCAGUGGAUCAACCAGAGAUAUCAGAACUAAAGCCUUGCAGAACUAUUUUGUCAAGGUACUUUCACAAAAUGAUGGGUUGAAAACAUUUGAGGAUAUUCUGAGUCAUCAUUCACAACAUUUGCCAUUCACAAAAGAAGUGAAAAUAGCAGAUGAAGAUAGACUGGUAGCACUUGAACUAUGCCCAAUGCAGAUGACAUGGUCUGAUAUCUAUUUUUCUGUUUCUGAUGGUUAUUAUGCAUUACCUAAGGACAACAGCAAAGUGAAAAGUGUAUUUAAAGCUGCCAGAACAAACCCUCAGUUCACCUACUGUGUGUUUGGUGUUGCCCUCCAACAAAUCUACCUUGUAAAGACUAUCAACCCUCUGACAGACAGUGAAAGAACAGAAAGAGCAAAGAUGUUCUGUGACUUAUCAAAAGGAGACAUUCAUAAGAACCAACUAAAAAUGCUGGAGUCGUUAUGCACAUGUGAUGAAUUUAAGUUCCCACUACUGCAGAUGGGUGGCCAAAAAUCAGUCAGAGACCAACAUCUUGCAAUCUGGAUUCUUCACCUAACAUGCUCAGUGCUUGCCUUCAAUCCCACUGAAAACCAAAUAAGCAGCACUGCUCCUUUGUGGUUAAGACUUAUUAUGAAUCCAGAUCAAAUAACAACAUUGUACAUGCCAGGAGCAGGAUAUGAUGAGAACAGUUUGCAUAUGAGCAAAUUUGCAUGUAUGAAAGCCAAAUUGAAAGAAUGUCAUUUUAUAAGGUGUAAGUGUGGGAUGACCACUGUUCUUACCAAUGAAGAAGCCUCAGUCUGCCAUGGGUGCCAGGAGAGUUUUGAAUCCAGUAAGGAAAGCGUGGAGCUGUCAGGCAUUUCUCAGAUGUCCACAAGAAAGCAGGGAUACAUCUACACUGAUAGCAGUCAUAUGGGAAAUGUGUUUCUAUCUGUAGGCACCUUGUCACCUGCUGCAUUUCGACUUUUACAGAUUGCUAUUCAUGGGUGCCUUGCUGUGUCACAAGCUCUUGGCUUCAUUACCACUUCUGAUCUCUCUGUGAUAAUGAAAAUCCCUGAGGAGGUAGAUGUAGUGCAUUACAUCAACAAGCAUUUACAAUGUCACUGGGAUGCUCUCUCUGUUAUGGCAGAAAUGGGACAUGCACAACUUGGUAAGCUUUUGAACUUCACAGUGAAAGAAGGGAUGUCAUCUUGGGUUCAUGAUACAUCUCAAUUUUGUGUCCCCGAAGAAAGAGACAGUUUUGAAGAUAGCUUCAGUGAUUAUUUCAAUGAAAUUAUGGUCAGGAGGUUUGGCAUUAUAAAGGAAGAGGUAAUAUGUUUCCAAAAGAACAACCCACAUAGCUCUGCUUCAUCCUGGGAAAUGAUAUUUGCUGAGGCUUCUGAUGAAGACAAUAUGUGUGAAAGAUUGCCGAGGUUGAUGAGGGAAAAUAUGGCCCCCAGUAUGGAAAAUAUGGAAAAGGAAUAUGUCAUUCAGCAGAAAACUGACAAGUUUCCAAUUAUGGCUUUAGUAUUUGAAAAGAAGAAAGCACUGUCAUUGCUAAGACAUCUCAUUCCACUUAUACAGUGGCACAUGUGUACUAUUCGGCACUCAAGUAAUAACUCAAGAGUAGUGGAAUGCAAAACUGUUGAGGACUUUAUCCUUACUUGUCAAAAAGAAGUAGCAGCUUGUGAGAAGUCAGAUUUGAUGAAAACAUUUGAGACCUUCAAGCAAUCUUGGAAUCAACUGAGAGAAGAGAUUGUCUUAUUGAAACACUAUAAUGAAUUCAUAUCAGACAUACCUAGGGUGCACAUAAGAGGUCCUCUUGAAACAUGCAUAAUGAAAAGUUCCUCUGCACCAGUUAUGCAAGUGUUGAAGGCUUUGCAGUCUAUUCAGAACCAGUUUUUAACAGACUCUGUUAUAGUUACUUUAUCACUGAACAACUUGUCAACCAGUUUUCUGAAACUAAAUGAUGGGAUUGCAACUCUGCAUGGAACAGCUAUUGAAAAUGUUGCACCAAGACAUGUUGUUACCCUGCCAGAUUUACGUGACAUGCCAAAGUUUUCUCAGAUAAACACAGAAUUAGGGCAUGGUAGAGAAAGACAAUAUGAUAUGUAUCAAAUUGAACUUCAAGUUGUGGCAGAAUGCCUGGUGAAUAAGCCAUUAUUAUUAAUAGGACCUAAAUUUCCUAUGAUCCGUUUUUAUGGCGAAAUAUUACACAGGACUGACCAGCUUCUGGAAGAUAUCAUCAACAUUGUUGGCCAUGAAGAUAUUGACAAAGAUAUCAUUAAGUCUGUCAUUUCACUGAAAGAGAAGAAUCCAUCAAAUAUGCAAACACUGACUGACUACUUAGAAAUGACCUUCACUCUUCUCAAAAGAGCACCACUUUCUGGUCGCCAGAAACAGCAAACCCUAAAUGACUUUCUGAUGGCUUGGCAAUCUUUCUUCCCAAAUAGAGUUGCUGACAUAGAUGCCUUUUGUAAAAGAAUCCGUUUGACUCAGUUGAUAUCUCUCUAUGAAUAUGUUGAAGACCUAGUGGCUGAAGUAAUCAUUGACCGUUUAGAAGACACAUAUCGAGUCCAAAUGCCUGAAGAAUGUCAAUCACACAUGAACACUGUUCUCGGCAUCAUGAAUUUGAAGUUGCAAGAAGCCCUUCUGUCAGCUUUGAAGAAGACUGUCAUCAGGUAUAUCCGAUUUCAGUAUGCAAAAUCAACUGAUCCCUUGUCACCAUUACUUAUGGAAAACACCAUGUGGCCAGAGGGUGUUUUAGCAGAUGUAACAUCCAAAACUGACAACCUGGACGCUGGACUGCUUCAUCCCUGCCUUUGUGUGGAGAAUAUCUGUGAUGCCAUUGACUUCACAACACAGGCUGUUGAGGAACUAAAGAUGAAGGAUGGCAGAAACAGUUCCCAAUAUGCAGUAAUAAGCCAAAAGAAGUCAGGAACUGUACAACAGAGGAAGAAGAAUUUGGCAAAGAAAUUUAGAAAGCGCUAAUAUAUUUUGUGUCAGGUUGCUAUGGGACAUGAACCAGUAUCUUUCGACCAAGAUAACUGACAUAGGAACAGAUUCAAACUUUCAAGUGUGAAUGUCUUUCUCAUAAUAUGUGAUGUUUUGUAGAACUGUAAAUAUUCAGUGUGAAUUUGUAAAUGGGCACAUAUUGUUAAAAAACAAUAUGGCUUUGCAUAACUUUAUCAUUUGCUUUUAAUACAUAGCUUUUGUGUAUUGAAUCUUGUAUUGUUAGAAUGUUCACCCAAAAGGAUAGUAUCAACUUGUGUUACUAUGCCUAUAAACAUUUAAAUAUUACAAACCAUUGAAUAAGGUGAAAAUAUUUGUUGCCCUUAUCUCAUAAAACAUAUCCACAAAAUAACUCAUCUUUUCUUAGCAUGCAUUUUUUUGUUUUAUUUGAACUACAUCCCUGUAUUAUGGACUGUACACAUGCAGACAUGAUGUAAGCUUUUGUACAAUAACUCUCACUUAUACAUAUUAUUUUGUAAACAUAGACUGAUGGCAAGGACAAUUCAAUUUGUACAACAGACAGUGAAGGGACAUUUGUUAAAUUUAUGCAUUGAGACAUGAGUACACGUAAAUAUGGACAUGUGGAUGGAAUAAACUGUCAUGUACAUGUAUAUAGUGGAACAAACCAACUUUAAUUAAUACAUCCAAAAUAUUUCUUGUAUAUUCAUGCAUCAUUUUUGUGUGAUUGAGUAACACAGAACUGUUAAUAUGUCGACAUUGUAACAGCUGUUUAUACAAUUUGUGUUAUUUAUUUGGAGUUACUUGUAAAUAUGGACUGAUAAUUCAAUAUCUGUGAUACAUAUCCCACAAUCCAACACAAAAAACACCACAGUUAAUAAGGUUCCGUUGGAUAUCUGUAAAUAACAUAUAGGACUAUUGAUAGUGCUGGUAGUUUUGUACAGAUACUUUAGAAUUAUGCUUUGAGAUAUCUGAGUACAUGUUGUAAAUAUGGACGACAUUUGAAUGCUACAAACCAUUGUGAAUUAAGGGGCAAUAUAUGUUUAAUAACUCUCAUUUGUACAUAUUUGCUUGUAAACAUGGACUGAUGUCAAAGCUAUUUUAAUCAGUCAACAUUCAAGGAGCGUUUGUUAAGUUAAUGCUUUGAGAUGUCAUGUAAAUAUGGUCUGACAACUCAAUAUCACCUACAUUAUUUAUGUUUCCCAAAAAAGAAUAAUAAAACCGAACGUUAACCAGGUUCCCUGGGACAUCUCUAAAUAAAAUAUAUCACUUCUGAUGGUACUGGUAGUUUUGUACAGAUAAUGGCAAAGAAUGAUACUUUAGAAUAAUGCUUUGAGAUAUCUAAGUACAUGUUGUAAAUAUGGACAUUUGGAUGGUAUAAACUGUCAUGAAUAUAGUGGAACAAACCAACUUUAAUUAACACAUCCAAAAUAUUUCUUGUAUAAUGAUACAUCAUUUUUGUGUGAUUGAGUUACACAGAACUGUUAGACAUAAUAACAGCUGUUUAUACAAUUUAUCUUAUGUAUUUGGAAUUACGUGUAAAUAGGGACUGAUAAUUCAAUAUCUGCAAUUUUACUUACAUAUCCCACAAUCCAACCAAAAAACACCACCAAAAACACCACAGUGAUAAGGUUCCUUGGGAUAUCUGUAAAUAAAAUAUAGGACUAUUGAUAGUGCUGGUAGUUUUGUACAGAUAAUGGCAAAGAAUGAUACUUUAGAAUAAUGCUUUGAGAUAUCUAAGUACAUGUUGUAAAUAUGGACAUUUGGAUGGUAUAAACUGUCAUGAAUAUAGUGGAACAAACCAACUUUAAUUAACACAUCCAAAAUAUUUCUUGUAUAAUUAUACAUCAUUUUUGUGUGAUUGAGUAACACAGAACUGUUAAUAUGUCAACAUUGUAACAGCUGUUUAUACAAUUUGUGUUAUUUAUUUGGAGUUACUUGUAAAUAUGGACUGAUAAUUCAAUAUCUCCGAUAUUACUUAUGUAUCCCACAAUUCAACCACACAAAAAACGCCUGCAAAAAACACCACAGUUAAUAAGGUUCCGUGGGAUAUCUGUAAAUAAAAUAUAUGAUUUCUGAUGGCACUGGUAGUUUUGUACCGAUAAUGGCAAAGAAUGAUACUUUAGAAUUAUGCUUCGAGACAUCUGAGUACAUGUUGUAAAUAUGGACGACAUUUGAAUGCUACAAACCAUUGUGAAUUAAGGGGCAAUAUAUGUUUAAUAACUCUCAUUUGUACAUAUUUGCUUGUAAACAUGGACUGAUGUCAAAGAUAUUUUAAUCAGUCAACAUUCAAGGAGCGUUUGCUAAAUUAAUGCUCUGAGAUGUCUUGUAAAUAUGGUCUGACAACUCAAUACCACCUACAUUAUUUAUGUUUCCCAAAAAAGAAUAAUAAAACCCACAGUUAACCAGGUUCCUUGGGAUAUCUAUAAAUAAAAUAUAGGACUAUUGAUAGUGCUGGUAGUUUUGUACAGAUAAUGGCAAAGAAUGAUACUUUAGAAUAAUGCUUUGAGAUAUCUAAGUAUAUGUUGUAAAUAUGGACAUUUGGAUGGUAUAAACUGUCAUGAAUAUAGUGGAACAAACCAACUUUAAUUAACACAUCCAAAAUAUUUCUUGUAUAAUUAUACAUCAUUUUUGUGUGAUUGAGUAACACAGAACUGUUAAUAUGUCGACAUUGUAACAGCUGUUUAUACAAUUUGUGUUAUUUAUUUGGAGUUACUUGUAAAUAUGGACUGAUAAUUCAAUAUCUCUGAUAUUACUUAUGUAUCCCACAAUUCAACCACACAAAAAACGCCUGCAAAAAACACCACAGUAAAUAAGGUUCCCUGCCAUAUCUGUAAAUAAAAUAUAUGACUUCUGAUAGUACUGGUAGUUUUGUACCGAUAAUGGCAAAGAAUGAAACUUGAGAAUUAUGCUUCGUGAUAUCUGAGUACAUGUUGUAAAUAUGGACGACAUUUGAAUGCUACAAACCAUUGUGGAUUAAGUGGCAAUAUAUGUUUAAUAACUCUCAUUUGUACGUAUUUGCUUGUAAACAUGGACUGAUGUAAAAGAUAUUUUAAUCAGUCAACAUUCAAGGAGUGUUUGUUAAAUUAAUGCUUUGAGAUGUCUUGUAAAUAUGGUCUGACAACUCAAUAUCACCAACAUUAUUUAUGUUUCUCACAAAAGAAUGAUAAAACCCACAGUUAGCGAGGUCCCCUGGGACAUCUCUAAAUAAAAUAUAUGACUUCUGAUGGUACUGGUAGUUUUGUACAGAUAAUGGCAAAGAAUUAUACUUGAGAAUAAUGCUUUGAGAUAUCUGAGUACAUGUUGCAAAUAUGGACGACAUUUGAAUGCUACAAACCAUUGUGAAUUAAGUGGCAAUAUAUGUUUAAUAACUCUCAUUUGUACAUAUUUGCUUGUAAACAUGGACUGAUGUCAAAGAUAUUUCUAAUCAGUCAACAUUCAAGGAGUGUUUGUUAAAUUAAUGCUUUGAGAUGUCAUGUAAAUAUGGUCUGACAACUCAAUAUCACCUACAUUAUUUAUGUUUCCCACAAAAGAAUGAUAAAACCCACAGUUAACGAGGUUCCCUGGGACAUCUAUAAAUAAAAUAUAGGACUUUUGAUAGUGGUGGUAGUUUUGUACAGAUAAUGGCAAAGAAUGAUACUUUUGAAUAAUGCUUUGAGAUAUCUAAGUACAUAUUGUAAAUAUGGACAUUUGGAUGGUAUAAACUGUCAUGAAUAUAGUGGAACAAACCAACUUUAAUUAACACAUCCAAAAUAUUUCUUGUAUAAUGAUACAUCAUUUUUGUGCGAUUGAGUUACACAGAACUGUUAGACAUAAUAACAGCUGUUUAUACAAUUUAUCUUAUGUAUUUGGAAUUACGUGUAAAUAUGGACUGAUAAUUCAAUAUCUGCAAUUUUACUUACAUAUCCCACAAUCCAACCAAAAAACACCACCAAAAACACCACAGUGAUAAGGUUCCUUGGGAUAUCUGUAAACAAAAUAUAGGACUAUUGAUAGUGCUGGUAGUUUUGUACAGAUAAUGGCAAAGAAUGAUACUUUAGAAUAAUGCUUUGAGAUAUCUAAGUACAUGUUGUAAAUAUGGACGACAUAUGAAUGUUACAAACCAUUGUGAAUAUAGUGGCAAUAUAUGUAUAAUAACUCUCAUUUGUACAUAUUAGCUUGUAAACAUGGACUGAUGUCAAAGAUAUUUUAAUCAGUCAACAUUCAAGGAGUGUUUGUUAAAUUAAUGCUCUGAGAUGUCAUGUAAAUAUGGUCUGACAACUCAAUACCACCUACAUUAUUUAUGUUUCCCAAAAAAGAAUAAUAAAACCCACAGUUAACCAGGUUCCAUGGGACAUCUAUAAAUAAAAUAUAGGACUAUUGAUUGUGCUUGUAGUUUUGUACAGAUAAUGGCAAAGAAUGAUACUUUAGAAUAAUGCUUUGAGAUAUCUAAGUACAUGUUGUAAAUAUGGACAUUUGGAUGGUAUAAACUGUCAUGAAUAUAGUGGAACAAACCAACUUUAAUUAACACAUCCAAAAUAUUUCUUGUAUAAUUAUACAUCAUUUUUGUGUGAUUGAGUAACACAGAACUGUUAAUAUGUCGACAUUGUAACAGCUGUUUAUACAAUUUGUGUUAUUCAUUUGGAGUUACUUGUAAAUAUGGACUGAUAAUUCAAUAUCUCCGAUAUUACUUAUGUAUCCCACAAUUCAACCACACAAAAAACGCCUGCAAAAAACACCACAGUUAAUAAGGUUCCGUGGGAUAUCUGUAAAUAAAAUAUAUGAUUUCUGAUGGCACUGGUAAUUUUGUAUAGAUAAUGGCAAAGAAUGAUACUUUAGAAUAAUUCUUUGAGAUAUCUGAGCACAUGUUGUAAAUAUCGUCAUAUAGCUUGAAUAUUGCUGAGUGCGGCGUUAAACAACAAACCAACCAACCAAUGAUUGCAGUAUUCAUUUGUGUGAAUGGUGAAAUACUUGUAAAAUAAAUCCAUAUUCUUUGUAAUAUCAGAAAGGUUUUUGUAAGUAUAUGUCAAUGAACUUACUCAGAAUGCUUAUUUCAAAUCUACCAUUUAACAGAUUUUGUGUAUGUAUUAAAAUGUUUUUGUAUUACUGCUAAGAAGAAGGAAAAAAACUAUAAUUUAUUUAUGUUUAUACUUUUCAGGAGAUGUGUGAAGGAUAUACAUGUAUAUUAUAUCCUUCACACAUCCUAUAUAUAUAUAUAGAUAUUAUAGACACACGCACACAAUAGUGUCAGGUCAUGCCAUAUCUAUGCCAGUUUUCCUGACGGAUUAGUCGUUACAUGUUGUUUUAAGAUUAAGAUAUGUAUAAUGUGUAGGUAUUUGGUAUAUGAAGGAAUAAUGUGUUGCUUUGUUAAAAUAUACCCCAUAGAGGAUCUGUUGAGGAAUUUAGAAAGUGCAGUUCAAAGCAAACAGUAGAAAGAAUGUGUGUUUGAAUGUAAAUGAGAAGGUAGGAUGAGGGACAUUUUUUAACCAUGGAAUAUUCAUAAUUUAAAAAAAGAGAAAAAUCUUUUGAAAGUGUAAUGAAAAUUAUCCGAUGUCAUUCAUAUGAAUGAGAAUUAGAGUUUGUUCAUUUCAACAAUUGCAUGUUUCGGACAUAUGACAAGACUAAAUGCAUUGGUACAAGCUAAAAUGUGUCCAAAAGGAUGAUUUUAGAGGUUUUCAGGAAGUGUUUUUCUAAUAUCUAAACAUUACAAAGUCUUUGACCCAGCUUAUUUGUUUAUGAGAUGUAGAUAAAAACAGAACAAAUUUGAGGUAAAAAUUCAUCUUAAUGAAAUUAAAUUAUUGGAAUUUGCAUCAUGUUUGUUUAAGGUAGUUGCUUAUGCUAUGUUUUUGUUCAUACAGGGCUUAUGUUGUCAUAGUUGAUAUCUGAAAAGAAAUAGCAAUUGUUUAAGCUGGGUUUUUUAUCCUGUUUACUAAUUUGUAGUCAAUUUCAUAGGAAAUUUUAGGCAUAUAGCCUGCCCCGUAUCAUGAUUGUAUUUUGUGAGAAAGGUAUCUUACAUAACUGGUCUUUUCUAAAAGAUACAACAUAUGUUUUACGUGAGAUAAAACAUGUGAAUAAUAUAUAUCUUUGUUCUGUUAUACACAAGUUUUCUAUUUUUGAUUGACUUUGAUGUUUUGCUCAUCUGACUGAAAGUCAAGUGAGCAUAUGUCGUGGGUUGUUUGUCCAGUGACCAUCUUUUCCGAAAUCCCUGAUGAAGCUGCUUGUACUCAAUGAUGACACAAUCAAGAGGUUCUGAACUGAUUUUCAAUGUGGCUAACCUCAGCCAUAUUAAAAACAUGUUUGGUCCAGGCGAGUUACAGUACCAUGGCACUAUUAUAUAUGCAUUACUUUAAGUGAGAGUUGGUACUUUAUUUAUUAAUCAAGCUUGUAAGUAGACUUUCCAAUAUAGAUCUUUUGAAAUUAAGUUGAUUAAACACACACCUCCCCACACACCCCAAGAAUGAUAAAAAAAGUAAUCAACUGCAUGUAGUAGUAUUUAAUUCAUGUUAGAUCAAAUACCAAGGUUACAUUAUUUGAAGCUAACAGAAUUGUAAGGGCAAAAGGCUCUUUGUAUUCCACCUGUCCUGAGGUGUGCUGGCUCCAAAGAGGUGAUGACUAGUGCUUGUGUCAUUAUGCUGCUGCAUAUGUUGAACAGUGUGUCAAAUAAUAGAUUGUUAGAAAAGCUCAAUAUUUAUUACAGAAAGAUUAUAUUGAUGAUUUUAGUGGUGUUAUCCAAUCAUGUAUUCUAGUUGCUUAUGUAAUUAAUAAUGUUGAUAUUAAUAUUAAUUAACAGAGGUUGAAAUAUUUUCUAACCUAGCAUCAUUUGUCUUGAUUUUGGCCUAUCACUUGGGAGACGGGAAACAACCUACAAUUUCUUUCAUUUUAAUUUGAAAUUGAUGUGCAUCCUAAUAAAAACAAUGCAAAUUAAAUGUGAGAUGCAAAGUAGAGCAUCAAAUAAAGAAAAGACAUUUGUGAAGACCAGAGAAACUAUCCUGUUUCACCCUCUGCAAAGCUUUGAUUUGGGGUUUCUAUACGUUUUUGUGAAUUUGUUUUUUAUUUAAUAAACUGUAAAUCGAA
rnacentral:misc_RNA from 1 species